GUAGGGGGCAAGCGUUGUCCGGAUUCACUGGGCGUAAAGAGCACGUAGGCGGUUAUUUAAGUCAGGUGUGAAAGUUUUCGGCUCAACCGGAAAAGUGCACUUGAAACUGGAUAACUUGAGAAUCGGAGAGGUAAGCGGAAUUCCUAGUGUAGCGGUGAAAUGCGUAGAGAUUAGGAAGAACACCGGUGGCGAAGGCGGCUUACUGGACGAUUACUGACGCUGAGGUGCGAAAGCGUGGGGAGCAAA
rnacentral:rRNA from 1 species